UCCUUGCGAGAAAAUACGUUAAGGAGCUUUGGUUAGCCGAAAAAAGUUGAAAACAAAAACUUACUGGCGACGAAAUUUUUUGGUGCGUCGGCUCUGCCGGCUCACCUUCACAGCUAAGUGUUUUUCUUUGGUCAACCUAUAAAAAAUAGAAUGGUGAACACAAUGGUAGAAAAAUUGCACAAAAUGGGAAACAGGAAGGAGCUCAU
rnacentral:lncRNA from 1 species